rnacentral:rRNA from 1 species
AUUGAACGCUGGCGGCAGGCUUAACACAUGCAAGUCGAGCGGAGAUGAGGUGCUUGCACCUUAUCUUAGCGGCGGACGGGUGAGUAAUGCUUAGGAAUCUGCCUAUUAGUGGGGGACAACAUUCCGAAAGGAAUGCUAAUACCGCAUACGCCCUACGGGGGAAAGCAGGGGAUCUUCGGACCUUGCGCUAAUAGAUGAGCCUAAGUCAGAUUAGCUAGUUGGUGGGGUAAAGGCCUACCAAGGCGACGAUCUGUAGCGGGUCUGAGAGGAUGAUCGGCCAAACUGGGACUGAGACACGGCCCAGACUCCUACGGGAGGCAGCAGUGGGGAAUAUUGGACAAUGGGCGAAAGCCUGAUCCAGCCAUGCCGCGUGUGUGAAGAAGGCCUUUUGGUUGUAAAGCACUUUAAGCGAGGAGGAGGCUACUUGGAUUAAUACUCUAGGAUAGUGGACGUUACUCGCAGAAUAAGCACCGGCUAACUCUGUGCCAGCAGCCGCCGUAACAC